rfam:Hebeloma cylindrosporum h7 unplaced genomic scaffold scaffold_68, whole genome shotgun sequence.
GCCCGCCUAGCUCAAUCGGAUAGAGCGUCAGACUCUUAAGGCGGUGUCAAUUGCAUUCCUCUCGGAAUCUGAAGGCUGCGAGUUCGACCCUCGCGGUGGGCU